AAAAACAUCGCCUCUUGCUAAACCAAAAGUAUAAGAGGUCCCGCCUGCCCUGUGACUAUAUGUUUAACGGCCGCGGUAUUUUGACCGUGCGAAGGUAGCGCAAUCACUUGUCUUUUAAAUGGGGACCUGUAUGAAUGGCAUAACGAGGGCUUAACUGUCUCCUUUUUCAAGUCAGUGAAAUUGAUCUCCCCGUGCAGAAGCGGGGAUAGGCACAUAAGACGAGAAGACCCUGUGGAGCUUCAGACACUAAAGCAGAUCAGUAUUAAUACCCUGAACAUAAGGCACGAAUAAGAUGAUUCCUGCCCUAAUGUCUUCGGUUGGGGCGACCGCGGAGAAAUAUAUAACCCCCGCAAGGACUGAAUGUACUACAUUCACAACCAAGAGUGACAACUCUAAUUAACAGAACUUCUGACCAAUAAGAUCCGGCAAUGCCGAUUAAUGAACCAAGUUACCCCAGGGAUAACAGCGCAAUCUCCUCUUAGAGUCCAUAUCGACGAGGAGGUUUACGACCUCGAUGUUGGAUCAGGACAUCCUAAUGGUGCAACCGCUAUUAAGGGUUCGUUUGUUCAACGAUUAAAGUCCUACGUGAUCUGAG
rnacentral:rRNA from 1 species